GUCGCUGGGUUUGCCCUGGCUCUGGUUCGGGCGAAAGGGGCGAAGUGCUUUUUCCUUGACUUUUAGCUUCGCCGCGGCAGCGAGAUUAAGCGAAUUAGCCCCCGAGGCUCCCAAGACGACAGAGGCCGAGCUCAAGAACCUGUAUGAAGGCAAGGAUUUUUCAGAGCUUUGGAGUGGAUUGCUACCAGUAUGCUGACAAAAACCAGCUCUGCCACUUUUGCAGCCAACUUCAAGGAGGCAAUCAGCACCAUUAAUCACUGUGAAAGUUUUGCUGCUUAGUGACAAGGCUAUGCAAUGAGAAGGUCACUAUCAUGGGACAGAACAACCUUGAGAUGCUUCCAUUUGCAAUCCUUGCAGAAGAGGGCCAUGGAUCUCUUCAUAAGCCCUCAUAGAAAAAAAGCAAAGGAAUCAUAGACAGCCAAGGAAAAACCCUAAAGAUUGCAAGCAAAGAUGAUUUUGGAGAAUACCCUCAUUUUCCCAAGCAAGACAUACCGUAUGUCCUCAGUGCCCAAAUUAUGUUGAUAAAAUGGUGUGGGGGGAAAAGCAGACUGGAAGGCUAGAAUAAUAAUAUUCA